rnacentral:lncRNA from 1 species
GCCAUAAUAUCCUUCUUUAGAACAGGUGCCCAAAAUUGCACAGCAUAUUCAAUAUGGGGUCUUACCAGUGAUUUAUAAAGAGGCAAAAUUAUAUUCUUGUCCCGAGAAUGAAUGCCCUUUUUCAUGCAUGACAAUACCUUACUGGCCUUGGCCACUGCUGAUUGACAUUGCACAUUGUUGCAUAGUUUGUUGUCUAUAACAAUUCCCAAGUCCUUUUCAUGUGUUGUUAUCCCUAAUUCGCUUCCAUUAAAGGUAUACGUUGCUUGUGUAUUCUUUACGCCGAAGUGCAUAACUUUGCAUUUUUCAACAUUAAAUUUCAUCUGCCAUUUGAGUGCCCAGUCUCCCAGUCUAUCUAAGUCCCUCUGCAGCAAAGUAAUAUCUUGCUCACAUUGUAUUGUUUUACAAAGUUUUGUGUCAUCUGCAAACACUGAAACAUGACUUUCAAUGCGGUCUUUAAGAUCAUUUAUAAACAUGUUAAAUAGAAGGGGUCCCAGAACAGACCCCUGAGGGACACCACUUG